rnacentral:rRNA from 3 species
ACGGUCCUAAGGUAGCGAAAUUCCUUGUCGGGUAAGUUCCGACCCGCACGAAAGGCGUAACGAUUUGGGCACUGUCUCAACGAGAGACUCGGUGAAAUCAUAGUACCUGUGAAGAUGCAGGUUACCCGCGACAGGACGGAAAGACCCCGUGGAGCUUUACUGUAGCCUGAUAUUGAAAUUCGGCACAGCUUGUACAGGAUAGGUAGGAGCCUUUGAAACGUGAGCGCUAGCUUACGUGGAGGCGUUGGUGGGAUACUACCCUAGCUGUGUUGGCUUUCUAACCCGCACCACUUAUCGUGGUGGGAGACAGUGUCAGGCGGGCAGUUUGACUGGGGCGGUCGCCUCCUAAAAGGUAACGGAGGCGCUCAAAGGUUCCCUCAGAAUGGUUGGAAAUCAUUCAUAGAGUGUAAAGGCAUAAGGGAGCUUGACUGCGAGACCUACAAGUCGAGCAGGGUCGAAAGACGGACUUAGUGAUCCGGUGGUUCCGCAUGGAAGGGCCAUCGCUCAACGGAUAAAAGCUACCCCGGGGAUAACAGGCUUAUCUCCCCCAAGAGUUCACAUCGACGGGGAGGUUUGGCACCUCGAUGUCGGCUCAUCGCAUCCUGGGGCUGUAGUCGGUCCCAAGGGUUGGGCUGUUCGCCCAUUAAAGCGGUACGCGAGCUGGGUUCAGAACGUCGUGAGACAGUUCGGUCCCUAUCCGUCGUGGGCGUAGGAAAUUUGAGAGGAGCUGUCCUUAGUACGAGAGGACCGGGAUGGACAUACCUCUGGUGUACCAGUUGUCGUGCCAACGGCAUAGCUGGGUAGCUAUGUAUGGACGGGAUAAGUGCUGAAAGCAUCUAAGCAUGAAGCCCCCCUCAAGAUGAGAUUUCCCAACUUCGGUUAUAAGAUCCCUCGAAGAUGACGAGGUUAAUAGGUUCGAGGUGGAAGCGUGGUGACACGUGGAGCUGACGAAUACUAAUCGAUCGAAGACUUAAUCAA